rnacentral:rRNA from 1 species
AUGCCAAUAUUAUUCAACUUUCAUAUACUUUUGGCAACUUUUUAUACUAUUUUUGGGACAAACAUAUUGAUCCAGUGCCCAGUGCCAGUUCCUGUUUGUUGCAUGUUUUAUGUUUCGCAGAAACCCAAUAUCAAACGAAAUCCAAACGGGAUAAAAACGGACGGAGAAUUAUUUUGGAAUAUUUGGGAUUUUACGGAGAAAGAAUCAAUGCGAAAUGGUGCCCGAGGUGGCCACGAGACAGGGGGGUGCGCCCUCCCCCCCGGGCACGCCUGGCACCCUCGUGGGCCACCCGUAAGGCGGUUGACGUUCUUCUUUUGCCGCAAGAAAGCUAAUUUUAUGAGAAAAAUUUGGGCGAAAGAUUCACCCCAAUCGGAGUUACGGAUCUCUGGAUAUAAAAGAAACGGUGAAGGGGAAGGAUCUGAGAACAUAGAAACAGAGAAAGAUAGAGAGAUAGAUCCAAUCUCGGAGGGGCUCUCGCCCCUCCCACGCCAUGGGAGACAAGGACCAGAGGGGAAACCCUUCUCCCAUCUAGGGAGAAGGUCAAGGAAGAAGAAGAAGAAGGGGGGCCCUCUCCCCCUUGCUUCCGGUGGCACCGGAACUCCGCUGGGGGCCAUCAUCAUCACCGCGAUCUUCACCAACAACUUCACCGCCUUCAUCACCAACUCCUACCCCCUCUAUGCAGCGGUGUAA